AGUUCAGAUUGCAGGCUGCAACUCGCCUGCAUGAAGUCGGAAUUGCUAGUAAUCGCAGAUCAGCAUGCUGCGGUGAAUACGUUCCCGGGCCUUGUACACACCGCCCGUCACACCAUGGGAGUCGGUAACACCCGAAGUCGGUAGCCUAACCGUAAGGAGGGCGCCGCCGAAGGUGGGAUUGAUGACUGGGGUGAAGUCGUAACAAGGUAUC
rnacentral:rRNA from 1 species